CGUGCGGCGGGGGCCUAAUAACUGCAAGUCGAGCGAAUGGAUUAAGAGCUUGCUCUUAUGAAGUUAGCGGCGGACGGGUGAGUAACACGUGGGUAACCUGCCCAUAAGACUGGGAUAAAUUUCCGCAAAACCGGGGCUAAAACCCGGGAUAACACUUUUGAACCCCACUGGUUCAAAAAAAAAAGGCGGCUUCGGCUGUCACUUAUAGGAAGAGACCCGCGUCCCAUUAGCUAGUUUUGGGGAGGAAACGGCCCACCAAGACAACGAAUUGCGUAACCGACCUGAGAAGGGGGAUCGGCCACACUGGGACUGAGAACACGGCCCCAGACUCCUACGGGAAGGCAGCAGUAGGGAAUCUUUCCGCAAUGGACGAAAGUCUGACGGAGCAACCCCGCGUGAGGGAUGAAGGCUUUCGGGUCGUAAAACUCUGUUGUUAGGGAAGAACAAGUGCUAGUUGAAUAAGCUGGCACCUUGACGGUACCUAACCAGAAAGCCACGGCUAACUACGUGCCAGCAGCCGCGGUAAUACGUAGGUGGCAAGCGUUAUCCGGAAUUAUUGGGCGUAAAGCGCGCGCAGGUGGUUUCUUAAGUCUGAUGUGAAAGCCCACGGCUCAACCGUGGAGGGUCAUUGGAAACUGGGAGACUUGAGUGCAGAAGAGGAAAGCGGAAUUCCAUGUGUAGCGGUGAAAUGCGUAGAGAUAUGGAGGAACACCAGUGGCGAAGGCGACUUUCUGGUCUGUAACUGACACUGAGGCGCGAAAGCGUGGGGUAGCAAACAGGAUUAGAUACCCUGGUAGUCCACGCCGUAAAUCGAUGAGUGCUAAGUGUUAGAGGGUUUCCGCCCUUUAGUGCUGAAGUUAACGCAUUAAGCACUCCGCCUGGGGAGUACGGCCGCAAGGCUGAAACUCAAAGGAAUUGACGGGGGCCCGCACAAGCGGUGGAGCAUGUGGUUUAAUUCGAAGCAACGCGAAGAACCUUACCAGGUCUUGACAUCCUCUGACAACCCUAGAGAUAGGGCUUCUCCUUCGGGAGCAGAGUGACAGGUGGUGCAUGGUUGUCGUCAGCUCGUGUCGUGAGAUGUUGGGUUAAGUCCCGCAACGAGCGCAACCCUUGAUCUUAGUUGCCAUCAUUCAGUUGGGCACUCUAAGGUGACUGCCGGUGACAAACCGGAGGAAGGUGGGGAUGACGUCAAAUCAUCAUGCCCCUUAUGACCUGGGCUACACACGUGCUACAAUGGACGGUACAAAGAGCUGCAAGACCGCGAGGUGGAGCUAAUCUCAUAAAACCGUUCUCAGUUCGGAUUGUAGGCUGCAACUCGCCUACAUGAAGCUGGAAUCGCUAGUAAUCGCGGAUCAGCAUGCCCAGGUAAAUACGUUCCCGGGCCUUGUACACACCGCCCGUCUCACCACGGGAGUUUGUAACACCCGAAGUCGGUGGGGUAACCUUUUGGAGCCAGCCGCCUAAGGGGACAGAGUGG
rnacentral:rRNA from 1 species